rnacentral:ribozyme from 13 species
UUUUUUUUUUUUUUUUUUUUUUUUUUUUUUUUUUUUUUUUUUCCAAUCG